rnacentral:rRNA from 1 species
UACGUAGGGCGCAAGCGUUAUCCGGAAUUAUUGGGCGUAAAGAGCUCGUAGGCGGUUUGUCGCGUCUGCCGUGAAAGUCCGGGGCUCAACUCCGGAUCUGCGGUGGGUACGGGCAGACUAGAGUGAUGUAGGGGAGACUGGAAUUCCUGGUGUAGCGGUGAAAUGCGCAGAUAUCAGGAAGAACACCGGUGGCGAAGGCGGGUCUCUGGGCCGAUACUGACGCUGAGGAGCGAAAGCGUGGGGAGCGAACAGG